AGACAAUACAAAGCAAAGAGGGUUGGGAAAGCAUAACCUGCUUACUUUCAGUCAGAAAAUGUAUUGUUCGCAUGUUCUUAUAUAUGCUUUGCAUGACCUAGGAAAAAAUGACAAUCUGUUUCGAAUGAACUGUUUAAUAGGAAUUAAAGUAUGGUUAUCAACAUAUAAAUCUGUUUGUUAAGAAACAUGUAUCAUUAAUUAUGAUAUUUCAUUAUUUUCAGCCAAUUACCCAAAAAUUAAGUAAAACUAAUUUUUUAACCAAUUUAUGAAAACAAUGGGUUGUCAGGUUGUAAAGAUUGAAUUGAGUACAUGAAACUGGCGUACAGUUAGUUUUGUUUUGCUUUAUUUUGUUGUAUGGAAUGGGGAGGAAUUGACAAUUGAAAUGGCCCUAGUCUUAAAGACAUUGUACUCCUUAUAAAAAUGGCAAUGUAUACACAUAUGGUAAACAGAUAUACAAUUCACAAGUUAAAUUCCGAUAUAAAACAUUAUUUAAAAUUUCAAUUACAUCAAUUAAAAUUGUGGUAAAAAGAUAAACAAUUCACAAGUCACAAGUCACAAGUCCAAUUCCGUUUUUAACACUACUUAAAUACAUCAAUUGAAAUUACGGGGAACAAGUUUCACCUUCUGAUAUAUU
rnacentral:lncRNA from 1 species